AGAGUUUGAUCAUGGCUCAGAACGUACGCUGGCGGCACGCCUAAUACAUGCAAGUCGAACGAAGUAGCAAUACUUAGUGGCGAACGGGUGAGUAUAAUGUGGGUAUCUGCCUUUUGGUGAGGAAUAACACGGGGAAACUUGUGCUAAUACCUCAUAAGCCUUCACAGGGAAAGUUUUAACGCCAAAAGAUGAGCCCGCACUUGAUUAGCUAGUUGGUAAGGUAAUGGCUUACCAAGGCUACGAUCAAUAGCUGAUCUGAGAGGAUGAUCAGCCACAUUGGGACUGAGACACGGCCCAAACUCCUACGGGAGGCAGCAGUAGGGAAUCUUGCACAAUGGGGGAAACCCUGAUGCAGCGAUGCCGCGUGAGUGAAGAAGGCCUUUGGGUUGUAAAGCUCUUUCGUCGGGGAAGAAAAUGACUGUACCCGAAUAAGAAGGUCCGGCUAACUUCGUGCCAGCAGCCGCGGUAAUACGAAGGGACCUAGCGUAGUUCGGAAUUACUGGGCUUAAAGAGCUCGUAGGUGGUUAGAGAAGUUGGUGGUGAAAUCCCAAGGCUUAACCUUGGAACUGCCAUCAAAACUUUUUGACUAGAGUGUGAUAGAGGAAAGUGGAAUUUCUAGUGUAGAGGUGAAAUUCGUAGAUAUUAGAAAGAACACCGAUUGCGAAGGCAGCUUUCUGGAUCAUUACUGACACUGAGGA
rnacentral:rRNA from 1 species